rnacentral:rRNA from 1 species
AUUUUAGCAUGGAAUAAUAAAAUAGGACGUGUGGUUCUAUUUUGUUGGUUUCUAGGACCGCCGUAAUGAUUAAUAGGGACAGUCGGGGGCAUCAGUAUUCAAUUGUCAAAGGUGAAAUUCUUGGAUUUAUUGAGGACUAACUACUGCGAAAGCAUUUGCCAAGGAUGUUUUCAUUAAUCAGGAACGAAAGUUAGGGGAUCGAAGACGAUCAGAUACCGUCGUAGUCUUAACCAUAAACUAUGCCGACUAGGGAUCGGACGGUGUUAUUUUUUGACCCGUUCAGCACCUUACGAGAAAUCAAAGUGCUUGGGCUCCAGGGGGAGUAUGGUCGCAAGGCUGAAACUUAAAGAAAUUGACGGAAGGGCACCACCAGGGGUGGAGCCUGCGGCUUAAUUUGACUCAACACGGGGAAACUCACCAGGUCCAGAAAU